AUUGAACGCUGGCGGCAGGCCUAACACAUGCAAGUCGAGCGAGCGGCGGACGGGUGAGUAAGGUAUGGGGACUGCCCGAUAGAGGGGGAAAACUACUGGAAACGGGGGCGAAUACCGCAUACUGUCGGAUUAACCAUAUGGGAUUAGCUAGUGGGUAUUGUAGUGGCGUACCUAGGCGACGAUCCCUAGCUGGUCUGAGAGGAUGAGCAGCCACACUGGAACUGAGACACGGCCCAGACUCCUACGGAGGCGGCAGUGGGGAAUGUUGCACAAGGCGCGCAAGCCGGAUGCAGCCAUGCCGCGUGUAUGAAGAAGGCCCUAGGGUUGUAAAGUACUUUCAGUCGGGAGGCGUUACCGACAGAAGAAGCACCGGCUAACUCCGUGCCAGCAGCCGCGGUAAUUC
rnacentral:rRNA from 1 species